rnacentral:tRNA from 1 species
GGAGAGGUGCCGGAGUGGUUGAACGGGGCGGUCUCGAAAACCGUUAAGGGCGGCAACGUCCUUCGAGGGUUCGAAUCCCUCCCUCUCCG